rfam:Saccharothrix sp. ALI-22-I Contig70, whole genome shotgun sequence.
CCGGGUGUUCGCGACUGGCGUGUCGAGGGUGGGAACGACCACCGGGGAGCGUUGAGCCGGAUCGCACCGCGCGCCUGGGUGCUACGG